GGGCACGUGACGCAGUCCGGUAGCGUGCGUCCUUCGCAAGGACGAAGCCGCGAGUUCGAAUCUCGCCGUGUCCACCA
rnacentral:tRNA from 1 species